UGAGGAAUCUUGCGCAAUGGGGGCAACCCUGACGCAGCCACGCCGCGUGCCGGAAGACGGCCCUAUGGGUUGUAAACGGCUUUUACCGGGGAAGAACCCGGGUCUUUCGAGACCCGCUGACGGUACCUGGUGAAUAAGCACCGGCUAACUCCGUGCCAGCAGCCGCGGUAAUACGGAGGGUGCAAGCGUUGUCCGGAAUCAUUGGGUGUAAAGGGUGCGCAGGCGGAAGCUUAAGUCGGGGGUGAAAUCCUGCCGCUCAACGGCAGAAUGGCCUUCGAUACUGGGUUUCUUGAGUCCGGAAGAGGUUGGUGGAAUUGGUGGUGUAGCGGUGAAAUGCAUAGAUAUCACCAAGAACACCGGUGGCGAAGGCGGCCAACUGGUCCGGGACUGACGCUGAGGCACGAGAGCGUGGGGAGCGAACAGGAUUAGAUACCCCGGUAGUCC
rnacentral:rRNA from 1 species